AUUGAACGCUGGCGGCAUGCCUAACACAUGCAAGUCGAGCGGAUGAAGGGGUCUUUCUACCUGGUUCAGCGGCGGGCGGGUGAGUAAUUUACGGGAGUCUACCUGGUAUUGGGGGGUAACGUCCGGCAACGGCCGCUAUUAUCCCAUAUGUUCUGAACGAGAAAGAGCGGGAUCUUCUGACCUCUCGCUAUCAGCUGAUCCUAGGUCUGAUUAGCUAGUUGGUGGGGUAAAGGCCUACCAAGGCGACGAUCAGUACCUGGUCUGAGAGGAUGAUCAGUCACACUGGAACUGAGACACGGCCCAGACUCCUACGGGAGGCAGCAGUGGGGAAUUUUGAACAAUGGGCGAAAGCCUGAUCCAGCAAUGCCGCGUGUGUGAAGAAGGUCUUCGGAUUGUAAAGCACUUUAGGUUGGGAGGAAGGGCAUGAAGCUAAUACCUUCAUGGGUUGACGGUACCAACAGAAUAAGCACCGGCUAACUACGUG
rnacentral:rRNA from 1 species